rnacentral:rRNA from 1 species
UACGGGGGGGGCAAGCGUUGUUCGGAAUUACUGGGCGUAAAGGGGCGCGUAGGCGGUUCGCUAAGUUGGAUGUGAAAACUCUGGGCUCAACCCAGAGCCUGCAUCCAAAACUGGCGGGCUAGAGUUCUGGAGAGGAUAGCGGAAUUCCUGGUGUAGCGGUGAAAUGCGUAGAUAUCAGGAGGAACACCGGUGGCGAAAGGCGGGUAGCUGGGGCCGACACUGACGCUGAUGCGCGAAAGCGUGGGGAGCAAACAGG